GACAGAGGGUGCAAACGUUGUUCGGAAUUACUGGGCGUAAAGCGCGUGUAGGCGGCUAUGCAAGUCGGAUGUGAAAGCCCCUCGGCUCAACCGGGGAAGUGCACCCGAAACUGCAAAGCUAGAGUCUCGGAGAGGAUCGUGGAAUUCUCGGUGUAGAGGUGAAAUUCGUAGAUAUCGAGAGGAACACCGGUGGCGAAGGCGGCGAUC
rnacentral:rRNA from 1 species